AUGAAAGAUCUUGGUGAAGUCAAUUUUAUUUUGGGAAUUAAAAUUACCAAGACUAAAGAUGGCAUUUUUCUUGAUCAGUCACAUUAUGUUGAGAAAAUUUUAAAGAAAUAUAACUUUCUAGACUCUAAACAUGUUGUUACUCCUUUUGAUGCAAGCAUACAUUUAUUUGUUGUAUUGUAACAAAUGAAAAGAAGUGAUUAAUCAAAAGGAAUAUGCUAGCAUGAUUGGUAGUUUGAGAUAUGCUACUGACUGUACUAGACUUGACAUUAUAUAUAUUGUUGGAGUACUUAGCAAAUUUAUUAGCAAGCCAAGUUGAGAUCAUUGGCUAGCCAUGAGAAAAAUUAUGAGAUAUUUAUCUAGUACCAAAAAUUAUGAUUUGUUUUAUAACAAGUAUCCUGCGGUACUUGAGGGAUAUAGUGAUGUCGAUUGGAACACUUUGUCAGGUGAUUCUCUCUCUACCUCGGGUUUUAUUUUUACCUUGGGUGGUGGUGCUAUAUGUUGGAAAUCUAAAAAAUAGACUAUAAUAGAAGCUGAGCUUAUAGUGUUAGUUUCAACAUGUAAGGAAGCGAAUUAGUUGAGAGAUUUGUUACAUAAAAUCCCUUUUUUGGGAAAAAUCAAUUCUUCCUGUGUUAAUUCAUUGUGAUAGCAUUGAUGUUAUUAGUAGAGUGAACAACCAUUUUGAUAAUGGUAAAUCCAGACUUAUUAGAAGGAAACACAGUAAUGUGAGAUCCUAUUUGAGUAAUGGUAACUGUGAAUUUUGUAAAAUCUUGUGAUAAUCUUGCGAAUCCGUUAACCAAGGCCUUGGCGAGAAAUAGGAUCUGGAAUACAUUGAGGUGGAUGGGUUUGAAACCUAUAAAAUCAUAAACCAUGUAUGAAGACACCGAACCUAAAGACCAGAGAUCCUGUAACUAGGUUCAAUGGGAAGAACGAAUCAUAUGGUGGUUGUAAAAAAUGCACUCCUUAAUAUUUUGUUGUCCAUUCUUAUGAUGUAAAUACAUUUGUCCUGUAAUGUUGGAGGGUUGAGUUUUUAUACUCUUAAUGAAAUUCUGUAGCUGUUGUUGAGUGGGGUGCGUAAAUUAUAGAAACAUCCUUGACAGAUUUCACUUAUGUAAACAUGGAAGUGGGACCGUUUUCUAUGAGAACAAGGCUUAUUAUCAAAUAUACUCAUGAAAACUGGGAUAAAUACAAGGUCGCAAUGUGCUGGCUAUUAAAAGCUCAUGUCAACACCUAGAUUAUUAUGUGUGAGCAGUAAUAUUUUAUUACCCUUAAGUAGUCAUAGUUCAAGUCUGAGACCACUAUUGACUUUGGAGUAGAGAUUGCUGUUUCAGCAAUGAAGGUUCAAUGCAGAGCACACCUUCAUAAUAUAUACUACUCUAUCUUUGUUUGGUAAUCUCUCUUGUCCUUGUUGAUACUAAAAUGAGUGGAGAAUUAUUUAACCAUUUUAAUAUCUUUUAUUUAUUUAUUUAUUUAUUUUUAUUUCUUUAAUAUGACCUUUUGUCUUGUUCAUGAAUCUUAUUUUGUCUUGCUCAUGAAUCUCAUUUUGUUUGGUAAAUGGAGAUUCGUUUGUUUUUGGUGACCUUUUGUUUUUCAUGAAUGGAGAUUAAAUGGAAGGUCAUGGAGUUGGUAGUGAGUUAAUGGUUAUUAUUUUUUUGGUGUAAUUUGUAAGGUCGUAGUGGCCUAUAAAUUGUUUUUCUCAUCUACUCUUUUCUACACUAAUUAUUUUUCUAUACUUGAAAGAUUACUAGCCAAAGAAGGGUAUUUUUUCUUGGUGGAGCUUUGGGUUCACCAUCUUGUGCAGAAUUGGUUUGAACCAUACGUCAAGUGGUCAGAUUGUUGUAUCGUGGAGGGGACAAGUCAUUUUUUCGUGACUGCUGCAUUAGUAUUUAAGUUCUUCCUACCGCAGUGGGCUUGAUCUCCUUAAAAAAAAUGAGAUAUCCAUGCCUCAGCCUGAUUUAUUUGUAUCUCAUUUUCUUUGCAUUAUUUAUCAAUAAAAUAUAAUUUUUCUGGUAUUUUCACCAACAAACAGUUUCUUUAAUUCUCUUCACAAUAAUAUGGAAAUCAAUUUUAAUUAUUAUGGAAAAAAUGAUUGUUAAAUUUUUUUAAUAAUAAAAUUUUUAUGUACAUUCUUUUUCGCCGAAAAUUUUAAAAUCAAACCAUCUAAUGUAUCUGUUUCUAACAAAUCACAAUAGAUAUCCAAUAUUUGAAUUUAACAAGAUAAUAAUUAAGGUAAACUAAUUAAUCACUAGAUUUUAAAUCAUGAAAGAAACAUGAUUAAAUUCAUAUCCAAAAUUUACUGAAUUAAUUACAAAGAGACAAAAAUGAUUAAUCAGUUAAAUCACAAUUUAAGAAAACACAUUCAAAUCAUAUAUUUAAUUAUUAUGAAGCAUGAGAUUUCAUCUUUAACCUUGAUUAUUAAUUUAGUUACAAAUCAUUGAGAAAACAAUCAAGACAAUAAAAAUAUUAACCAUUAAAAUAAAACCCACAAGAAACUUGAAUAUUAAAACCCUAGUCGUCUUCUACUCUCCUCAAAAAGUUCCCGCACGAUAGAUGUUACAUGCUUUUAUAUAGAAGAAGAAACCUAAACCUAACAAAAAAAUAAACUAUUAUUAAAUAAUAAAAAUACAAUUUAUAAAUAAAUAAAAAGUUUUGGUUUCCAUACGAGUGGUGAAGUUUGGUUGUUGAAGAUGUCCACUUAAUCCAUCUAAAAAAAUAAAAAUAAAAAUAAAAAUAAUAAUGUCCAUUUGAUUCGUGAAAUAAUAUGGUUUCGCGGCAAUGGUACAAUUGCCUUGUGCUAAGUUGGCCAAAAAUAUAAACAACUUGCUUUUAGCAAGUUGAGACGAUCUAACCACCAAAUUACUAAUUAGGCUAAUCAACAUACAUGAUUUAUUGAUCCCAUUUAAUUAUUUAACUUCUUUCCAUGUAGAUUUCAAUUUUAUUUCCUUUUUCACCAUUUUCCCACCAAUGUUCUAGAAUACCUAAAAAUAUAAAAACAAACAUAAUAAGAUAAAAAAAUAUAUAAAAUAGGUCUAACAAAGUAUAAAAUAUGCAUUAUAAUGGACACAUCAUCUUGCACCGCUCAAUAGGUCAUUAUUUUAUCAAUUUCUUUCACUAAAAACAAAUAAGAAUUUAUUUAAAAACAAUUUGUGAAAGAUGAAACCAAAAGAAUCUCAAGUGUAGUUGAUGGUUUUGCUUAUCAAAAUGCGAUAGGGAUGUGUAGGCUUAUUUUCUCAGGGAAAUUAAUUUAUACUAGCAACAAAUUAAAAUAAUUAUAAUUUUUUCUAAAGGUACAAACAAAUUGGUAUUUACAAUUAAAAGUUAUGACAUGGACACAAUUCUCAUUUACAUUUACUGUGGGGAGGUGGAUAUGGAAUACUCAUUCUAUCCAAACGAGUCCUUGGGAAAUCACUCUAGUUGCGACUUGAAAUAAGAAUAAAAUUUCGGACGGUAGUACCAGAAUUAGCACUUCGACGGUCUAGUUAGUUUCAGUAGAAAGGUUAGUUUUUUUUCUCAUUUCUGCUGCUUUAAGUUUCUUAGCAUGUAUCUUUUUCUCCAACUUGUCUCCUUCUUUUAUAAAGUCACCCUCCUCGAUUUUCACUCCAUGUAGCUUAGCUUUUCAUCGUCAUCUUGUCAGGAUCCAUACCUCUACUAUACUUCCUUGAAAGGAACACUCUGGUCCUACUUGGUGUGUUCAUGUUGACUCUCGAGACAUAUUCUGCUCUUCUAUUUGAUACAGGGAGUUUAAAAUGAAUGAUUGGAUGGUUGAUGAAUUGAUGAAGCAGUUGGUCUUCCAGUGCUUUUUGAGUUCUGUUGUUUUUGCUUUUGUUUUGUGCAGGGCAUUAUAUACCUUUAAUCAUCUAUGAAAUCUGGUUAAAAAGACCAUCUUGUUUGGUGUAGUUUAUAAAAAUUAUUUAUAAUUUUUUUUUGAGAAUUUAUUUAAUAUUUAGUGUAAUUUUUAUUUAUAACUUAUGAAGCAUAAAUAAAAAAUUUUAAGUUGAAAAAAUAAAUUAUUAAAAAAUUAAGGAAGAAAUGCUUUUAUUUUUUUUCCUUCUGAUUAUCAACUUUCAAUUUACAAAUUAAUUAUAACUUCGGCCAGCCACUCAAAUCAUGGAAAACAUUCAAAAAAAUAUAUUUCAUUCCAAAUGUCGAUCUUUUUAUUUUAUUUCUCAACUAUUAAGAAAAGUUAACCCAAUAUAUUUCAUUUCUCAACUAUUAAGAAAAAUUUUAUGUCCCUCUCUCUUGUACAUGAAGAAUUCCUUCCCAUCACUAGCCGUUAAGGGUGAUUAAAAUAUGGCCGCAGGACAGGUAACCAAAAUUCUGGCUACUAAAAUUGUUGGUUUUUUGAGGGAGGACAGUUACAGUUGCGACCUUCCGCUAAGUCACACGUUGGCAUCAAUGUAUUAUAAGUUAUCACUUUCAUCCUUAUUCUUUUCAAAUUUGUUUUCGGUUCACAUGGCAAAAUAUAUGACUGCAAUCGAUAAGGAUGUUUUAGAUGCUGUGGAGUGGACCUACUCAAAUCUCUUUCCGUGCUGUAAUUUUUGUACUACCGGAACUUGAGAGGAGAUUAAUAACUCGGGGGGGCUCUGUCCAGUGAAAGGUUGUGUAUAGUCUGCUGCUUCUUGUUUAAUUUGGAUGCUAUGGUUGAAACAUUCAGGUUCUCAUUGCCAUAGCAAAAGUGGGAAUUGAAAUAUUCAAGGUCAACUGUCCAAAAAAACCUUUUUCAAGUUUUCAUUGGCACGCUGCUUUAUAACUAUAAACAGGUUAGUUCAGUGUGAACGCGAAAUUGAAUUGUAUAAUGCAGUUUAAUUUCCAAAUAAAUAAAUAAACAAAUAAAUGAAAUCGCUUUUUGACCUAAAAAACUAUUGUUUGUCUUGGUUGCAAGGAUAAAAAUGUAAACUCCACCAUUCAAAAUCAACAAUUUAUGUAAGCAAUGCACCACUCCUAGUUAUCUAAAAAUGAGCAUUCAAGAAUCCACUAGAACAGCAUUUUUGACAAACUUUGAUAUAGGCAACCAGACAUCAUUUCCAAUCAAUCCUUGUAUUCAAGUUAAAUCAUGUCCAAAACACUAGUAAUACAUUGUACAUUGUUCCUAAGCUAAAAAGAGAAAUACAAAAGCAGAUUACAAUUCACUUCAAUGAAGAAAAAAGGAAAAGGACAAAAAAAAAA